rnacentral:rRNA from 1 species
GAUGAACGCUAGCGGGAGGCCUAACACAUGCAAGCCGAGCGGUAGAGAUUCUUCGGGAUCUUGAGAGCGGCGUACGGGUGCGGAACACGUGUGCAACCUACCUUUAUCAGGGGGAUAGCCUUUCGAAAGGAAGAUUAAUACCCCAUAAUAUAAACCAAGGCAUCUUGAUUUAUUGAAAACUCCGGUGGAUAGAGAUGGGCACGCGCAAGAUUAGAUAGUUGGUAGGGUAACGGCCUACCAAGUCAGUGAUCUUUAGGGGGCCUGAGAGGGUGAUCCCCCACACUGGUACUGAGACACGGACCAGACUCCUACGGGAGGCAGCAGUGAGGAAUAUUGGACAAUGGGUGAGAGCCUGAUCCAGCCAUCCCGCGUGAAGGACGACGGCCCUAUGGGUUGUAAACUUCUUUUGUAUAGGGAUAAACCUACUCUCGUGAGAGUAGCUGAAGGUACUAUACGAAUAAGCACCGGCUAACUCCGUG